UACGAGGGGGGCAAGCGUUGUUCGGGAUUAUUGGGCGUAAAGGGUGCGUAGGCGGUUUUUUACGUCUUGUGUGAAAUCUUCAGGCUCAACUUGAAGACUGCACGAGAAACUGCAGGGCUUGAGUGUGGGAGAGGUGAGUGGAAUUCCUGGUGUAGCGGUGAAAUGCGCAGAUAUCAGGAGGAACACCGAUGGCGAAGGCAGUGAUCUGGGCCAGUACUGACGCUGAGGAGCGAAAGCGUGGGGAGCAAACAGG
rnacentral:rRNA from 1 species